rnacentral:piRNA from 1 species
GCGGUCGGCAAGAAUAAGCGCCUGA